CACCUACGGGAGGCAGCAGUGGGGAAUAUUGCACAAUGGGGGAAACCCUGAUGCAGCAACGCCGCGUGAGUGAGGAAGUAUUUCGGUAUGUAAAGCUCUAUCAGCAGGGGAUAGAAAAGAAGGUACCUGAAAAAGAAGCCCCGGCUAACUACGUGCCAGCAGCCGCGGUAAUACAUAGGGGGCAAGCGUUAUCCGGAUUUACUGGGUGUAAAGGGAGCGUAGGCGGUUUAGCAAGUCAGAAGUGAAAGCCCAAGGCUCAACCAUGGGACUGCUUUUGAAACUGUCAAACUAGAGUACGGGAGAGG
rnacentral:rRNA from 1 species